rnacentral:lncRNA from 9 species
CCCCUCCUUGAAGCCCCAGGGCCUGACAUCAGCAGUACAGAGCCCGCUGCCUAGCUCUGCCGGCGCCCCCGGCACUACCUCCAUUCCGGGGCGGGAGACCCCUGGGCCACCCUCGCUGGGGGGCCUGGGGCACGUCCUGAGAGUUGGGUCCGGCGCCCAGCAGGUCUCAGGGUCGGCCUGCGAAGUAUGGCUUUACCAGCGCCUCUCCAGAAUUGUGGGACCCACUUGGCCCCUUCCAACCUGAACUUGGAACUUGGGAACCCAAAGAGGUGGGGAUAGGGCGCGCAGGGGCCAGGGUCAGACAGGGAAAGGAGUUUGGAAAAGGUGCGGGGGCAGGAAAAGGGAGGCUGGGAGAGGGGACGGGGCAGGGGCAGUGGGGGAGGGACUCUUAUCCUGACAGGGCUCCCGCCUUCCCCGACUGGAGGGUUUGGAAAAACUGAGCAGGCAGCCAAGGCUUGGCUGGAAAUCCUGCAGCCCACCCUCCUGGGGACACAAAGCUGGAGGGCGGCGGCAGGGCGGGGGGAGAGAGCACGACCCCGGGGAGGGCAGGGCCUCUUCUGGGUCUGGGGGCCCAGGGACCAGGUCCCUGGGGAGGGGGUUCCUGGCGCUGUCUCCCUGCAGUCUGCUUCCCCCUUUCUCCCCCCCCACCUCUCCCCCCCUCCCCUCCCGGCUCCAGUCUUGCAGAUUGCGGGCAGACUUAACUCCUUGCGCGCCAGCGCGGUGGACUCCAUGGUGGUGACGCUUUGAGGGAGGGAAGGAGGGAGGGACUUCCAACCCCACUCCCACCCACAGCUUAACACCUUGAGGCCCGGAAGGCAGUCUCGGAACUUAGGCUUGUCAGAGUCCUGAGAAGGCUGCACACACAAAACCCGGCACCUGAGAGCUGUGUAAUCUAGUCCGCUGUCCUGCCAAAUCUUAACCGACUUGCCUCCCGCGCCACCCCAAUCCCCUCUGCCUCUUCCUCCACCCUUUGGCCACAUUCCCGCCACCACCUCUACUAGUUGCUGCAAAGGUCCCUGACAGAUAGGAGGCUGCGGGGAACCCGGAAGUCUGGGUUCUGUGGCUGCCUGGACCUUCUCUUCAUCCCGUCUGGGAGGCCCCGCACAGGUGACCGCAACCCGCGCUUUUCUGGCCUCCGGGGGACUCCUCCACCCACCUGUGGGGGUAGCUACCCACCCGAGGCAGGGGAUGCUAACCUUCCCCCUCUCCAGCUAGGACAAGGGCUAGAGUAGCCGGAAACCCUGACUUCACUUCCAGCCUAGCCCCUCUCCUAGGCAGCACUUCCUCCACCAUCAGAUUUGCCACACACACCCCCACCCCCAAUUCGGCCGCAAAUGACUGCCAGAGGGCAGUACCUCGGUCUAGGCAAGAAGGGGUUAACGGAGCUCAUAGGCUCCCGGUGAGAGCCAGGUGAGGCACCGCCCGUCUUGGCCUUCAGGUGUGUGGGUGGGGAAGUGGAGGGGCGCUGACCUCGGGGCUGCUCUUUUGCCCCCUGGUGGCUAGAUGUGGCUUAGCAGUCCUGGCAAAAGCUAGGCUCAGGUGGGGAUUGGUGGAGGGGAAACUUUGGAGUAGUCCUCCUGCAGGAAGAGCACCUUCAGGGAGAAAGAAUCCUCUGGGAAGGUCUGCGGAACGAGGGAGCUCCCACAAUCCCCGCCAUGCCAUCCCCACUCAACAGGCUGCCUCAGCCACUUUCAGAUCUUUGCACUUGGGACUCUACUUGUGGGUCCCAGAGUCCCUGGAGGAGGAAAGGCAAAAAUAAAAGAUAUGCGCCCUAUCCUGCCAGGGUCUCCACCUAAAGGAGGGGGGCAAGAGAAGGAGGCUGCCCCUCGCUUUCUUUUCCUUCUGUGUCCCAGGUCUUCCUAGAACUCCCACUCCUUCCAGACCCCAGCAGCAAAUGCAAACCUCUAGCCUGGCUUCAAGGCUCCUAUCAGCUUCUUGGUCCCCCAUCAGUUUCCCUCCUCUCCAGCCAGCUUGCCUUCUGGGUCUCUCCCCCAUAAAAAGGGUCUCGAGGGAUUCUAGGUGCUCAUAAUCCCUUCCUCCCCUGGGUAGCAGAAGCCCUCUCAGGUUAGCAAAGGCCGUGACCUUCAAGGGUUCCUUUCUUUAUUUUCCGAAGUUGCCUCACUUCCUUCCCUCUCUCCAAUAUUUCCUGUUAUCCUCUAUCUAAGGCUUCUUUUCACAGAAGCAGUUCACCCAACCAGGGACAACCCUUGGAGACUCUGACCAAUCUCACUUACUUAUUCAUUCAAAAAAAUAGCUUUUAAAGACCUACUAUGUGCCAGGCACUGGUUAGACAAUAGGUAAAUGUUGAUGAGUGAGACAGAUGUGGUCCUCAACCUCACUCUAGUUGGGAACAGACACAUGAACAGGCACGUGUUUCAACUUAGUGUCAUGAAGGCUUAGGGAGCACUUUUUUUCUUUUUGGCCCUACCCAUGGAAGUUCCUGGGCCAGAGAUCAAACCCAUACCACAGCUGUGACCUGAGGCUCAGCAGUGACAACCCCAGGUACUUAUCCCACUGUGCCACCAGAGCACUCCUCGGGGAGCACUUGGAGGGACAUCUAUCGGGGACAUGGGAGUCUGGGAGAGUUUCCUGCACAGAGCAACUUCAGAGCCUAGACUUAGUCCAGCCUAAGGUGCAGUUCUGCCCAGGCAGACAGUAUAUUUCACUGGAGGUCUAAGGAUAGAACAGGAUCUCAGCAUGGCAUCUCACCAGAUGUUCUAAGAGACCUCUAAGGCUGCCUUCCCAAACAACCCAUUUCUUUUUUUUUCUUUCUUUUUUUUUGUCUUUUUGCCAUUUCUAGGGCCGCUCCCGCGGCAUAUGGAGGUUCCCAGGCUAGGGGUCGAAUCGGAGCUGCAGCCACUGUUCUACGCCAGAGCCACAGCAACGCGGGAUCCGAGCCGCAUCUGCGACCUACACCACAGAUCUGGCAUUGUCACUGCUGUGGCCCCGGUUUGAUGCCUGGCCCAGGACCUUCCCCAUGCCACCAGUGUGGCCAAAAAGAAAAACAAAAUAGAGCUUCUGUCUCUUUCUGUCCACUGUCUUCUUAUUAUGUAGAUUAGCUAGCUUAGCCUCUCAGGUUUCAUUAUUUUCCUUUCUCCUUCACCCAUUACCCAGAUUCUCCCUAACACAUCAGAAAGUUACCUGUCUCCUGCCUCUCUAGUCUUAUCUCUCACCUCCUGUUCUCCCAGUUCUGUAUUACAGAAGCCCUGGAACUGAGCAGGCCACAACAAGAUUUCCAACAACAGGUGAGGGAUAAAAUUAUCUUGGGGGUGAAGGGAGGCGGGGCAGAGGGAGGCUAAGAACAGUCAAUGGUUAAUAUGUUUUUAUCCUAUAACACAUAAUAAAAGACACCUGCCCUCAAGGACUUUAUAAAAUGGGGACAAUUAAAGAACACUAGAAGGAGUUCCCAUUGUGGUGCGUCGGAAACAACUCCGACUAGGAUCCACGAGGAUGUGGGUUCUAUCCCUGGCCUUGCUCAGUGGGUUAAGGAUCAUCUGGCAUUGGCCUGAGUUGUGGUGUAGGUCGCAGACGCAGCUCAGAUCUGGCGUUGCUGUGGCUCUGGCGUAGGCUGGAGGCUAUAGCUCCCAUUUGACCCCUAGCCUGGGAACUUCCAUAUGCCUCAGGUACAGCCCUAAAAAGACCAAAAAAAACCCCAACCAACCAAACAAACAACCAUAAAAAUGUCAGAAGGCUCAGGAGCAAGUUUUUUUUUUUUUUUGGUUUGUUUUCUUAUUUAUUAUUAUUACUUGUCUUUUGUCCUUUUAGGCUCGCACCCGAAGCAUGUGGAGGUUCCCAGGCUAGGGGUCGAGUCAGAGCUGUUGCUGCCGGCCUAUGCCAGAGCCACAGCAACACCAGAUCCGAGCCACGUCUUCGACCUACACCACAGCUCAUGGCAACACCGGAUCCUUAACCCACAGAACAAGGCCAAGGAUCGAACCCGAAACCUCAUGGUUCCUAGUCAGGUUCCUUAACCACUGAGCCACGAUGGGAACUCCUGGUUUGUUUGUUUUUUUUAAUUAAAUUAACUUAUUUUGCUUUUUAGAGCCACACCUGCAGCAUAUGGAAGUUCCAGGCUAGGGGGCAAAGCGGAGCUGCAUCUGCAACCUAUGUACGCCACAGCUCAAGGCACUUUGGCAACACCAGAUCCUAAACCCACUGAAGCUAGGGAUCAAACCUGAUUCCUUGUGGAUGCUAGUCGGGUUCAUAACACGCUGAGACACAAUGGGAACUGCAGAAUGUUUUUGAGUAGAGGAGUUACAUGGGAGCAGAUGGGUGUGGCAAUAAAACAAAACACUAACUGUGGAACUCCAUAGGUCUGGACAUGAAUCCUAGCUCUAUUGCUUACCAGCUGUAGAAUGUGGGUAAAUUACUUUCACCACUCUGAGCAUCAAUUCCUUCUCCUGUAAAAUGGGAUAAUACCCACUUUAUAGAUUAUCAUGAAGAGUAAAUGACACAUAUGAAGAGUCUGAUACAUAAUGGAUGCUCAUUAAAUCAAGAAGAAAAAGAAAGAGAGAAAAGGGUUGUGUUUCAGGUGAGUUGGGUUUUUGAGAGGCGACUGACUACCUUUCUAGGAGGCCCAGGUGAGAAUGGGGCUGUAGUGAGUGACUCUAAGAUUUGCUGGGCACUUAGUCACAGGUGGUUUAGAUGAAAAGGCAAAGGGGAGUUCUUACUGUGGCGCAGCAGAAAGGAAUCUGACUAGGACCCAUCAGAUUCGAUCCCUGGCCUCCCUCAGUGGGUUAAGGAUCUGGCGUUGCUGUGAGCUGUGGUGUAGGUUGCAGACACGGCUUGGAUCUGGCAUUGCUAUAGCUGCGGUGUAGGCCGGCAGCUGUAGCUCAGAUUAGACCACUAGCCUGGGAACCUCCAUAUGCCAUGGGUGCGGCCCUAAAAAGCUAAAAAAAAAAAAAAAAAAAAA